rnacentral:rRNA from 1 species
AAAAGAUUAAGCCCAUGCAUGUCUAAGUAUAAGCAAUUAUACAGCGAAACUGCGAAUGGCUCAUUAAAUCAGUUAUCGUUUAUUUGAUAGUACCUUACUACAUGGAUAACCGUGGUAAUUCUAGAGCUAAUACAUGCUGAAAACCCCGACUUCGGAAGGGGUGUAUUUAUUAGAUUAAAAACCAAUGCCCUUCGGGGCUUACUGGUGAUUCAUGAUAACUUCUCGAAUCGCACGGCCUUGCGCCGGCGAUGGUUCAUUCAAAUUUCUGCCCUAUCAACUUUCGACGGCUGGGUCUUGGCCAGCCGUGGUGACAACGGGUAACGGAGGGUUAGGGCUCGACCCCGGAGAAAACGCCUGAGAAACGGCGUUUACAUCCAAGGAAGGCAGCAGGCGCGCAAAUUACCCAAUGCCGACACGGCGAGGUAGUGACGAGAAAUACUGAUACAGGGCUCUUUUGGGUCUUGUAAUUGGAAUGAGUACAAUUUAAAUCCCUUAACGAGGAACAAUUGGAGGGCAAGUCUGGUGCCAGCAGCCGCGGUAAUUCCAGCUCCAAUAGCGUAUAU